GGCAGGAACCCAACAACGGGUUGCCUGAUUUGUCUGAAAAUUUCAGGGCAGUUAAAUCUUGACUUAAUAAACAUAUUUAAAUGAAUGAGAUUUGCUCUAAAUGCUUUGAAUUCAGAGAUAUUAGCCAAAAAUUGCAUUUUACCCCUAUGUACUAUUCUUAGCCACGUCGGCCAUCUUGGUUCGUGGACGAAGUCAUUGGACACAUAAUUGAAACUAC
rnacentral:lncRNA from 1 species